AAUACCCCUCAAAUCUCAGCUGAGAUGACAACUUUUGAGAAGCAUUUGAUUGAGAGAAAAGUCUUAGAAAGUCUUAGCAAGUCUUGUUUUCAAUUUGCUAGAGAGUUCUCCUCCUUCUUUCUCAUUGAAAAUCUGUAAGAGGUUGAGCUGCUUGUAAAAGGUUGUAAGAGGGGUAUUUACCCUUCCAUUUCAAGGGAUUUGCUAGUGGAAGGUGGGAGCCUCAUCGAAGAGGGGCCUCGCAAGUGGAGUAGGUCAUUUGACCAAACCACUCUAAAAUCGGCGUAAUCUCUGGUUUGC
rnacentral:lncRNA from 1 species